AACCUGGUUGAUCUUGCCAGUAGUCAUAUGCUUGUCUCAAAGAUUAAGCCAUGCAAGUGAAAGUAUAUGCAUAUUUUAUAUGUAGAAACUGCGAACGGCUCAUUAAAACAGUUAUAAUCUACUUGACAUUUUUUCUAUAAGGAUAACUACGGAAAAGCUGUAGCUAAUACUUGCUUUAGCACUCUUGAUUCAUUUCUUGAGUGUGUACUUGUUAAGCCUUUUAAGAGAAAAGUUAUUAACUUAAGGAAUUAUAACAAAGAAGCGACACGUAAUGGAUCCGUCCAUUUUUAGUGUGUAUCAAUCGAGUUUCUGACCUAUCAGCUUUUGAUGUUAGGGUAUUGGCCUAACAUGGCUAUGACGGGUAACGGGGAAUUAGAGUUCGAUUCCGGAGAGGGAGCCUGAGAAAUAGCUACCACAUCUAAGGAAGGCAGCAGGCGCGUAAAUUACCCAAUUCUAAAGAAGAGAGGUAGUGACAAGAAAUAACAAUACAAGGCCAAUCUGGCUUUGUAAUUGGAAUGAUGGGAAUUUAAAACCUUCCCAAAACUCAAUUGGAGGGCAAGUCUGGUGCCAGCAGCCGCGGUAAUUCCAGCUCCAAUAGCGUAUAUUAAAAUUGUUGCAGUUAAAACGCUCGUAGUUGAAUUUCAAAGAAUCGAUAUUUUAAGCAACGCUUUUAGCUUAAUCCACAUAACUGAUACUUCGUAUCGACUUUGUGCGCAUUUUGCUAUUAUGUGUUCUUUUAAUUAAAAUGAUUCUUUUUAAGGACUUUCUUUGCUUCGGCUUGGAAGUCCUUGUUACUUUGAGUAAAUUAGAGUGUUCAAAGCAAACAGAUAUAGCAUUGCGCGUUUGAAUACUACAGCAUGGAAUAACAAAAUUGAACAAGUCAGAAUUUUGUUCUUUUUUCUUAUUUUGGCUUAGUUACGAUUAAUAGGAGUAGCUUGGGGGCAUUUGUAUUCAGAUGUCAGAGGUGAAAUUCUUAGAUUUUCUGGAGACAAACAACUGCGAAAGCAUUUGCCUAAAAUACUUCCAUUAAUCAAGAACGAAAGUUAAGGGAGUGAAGACGAUCAGAUACCGUCGUAAUCUUAACCAUAAACUAUGCCGACUAGGCUUUGGAUGAAAGAUUUUAAAAUAAGAAUUUUCUCUUCGGAGUUUAUUCUUAGAUUGCUUCCUUCAGUGCCUUAUGAGAAAUCAAAGUCUUUGGGUUCUGGGGCGAGUAUUCGCGCAAGCGAGAAAGUUAAAAGAAUUGACGGAAGGGCACCACCAGGCGUGGAGCUUGCGGCUUAAUUUGACUCAACACGGGAAAACUCACUAGUUUAAGACAAGAGUAGGAUUGACAGAUUAAUAGCUCUUUCUUGAUUUCUUGGAUGGUGAUGCAUGGCCGUUUUUAGUUCGUGAAUAUGAUUUGUCUGGUUAAUUCCGAUAACGAACGAGAUCUUAACCUGCUAAUUAGCGGCAAAUACGAUAUAUUCUUACGUGGGACUGAAUUCGGUUGAUUUGCUUACUUCGAAGAAAAUAUUGGGAUACGUAAAGUUUCCCUUUCCCUUUUCUACUUAGUUCGCUUUUCAUACUGUUUCUUUUUCGCGUAAGAAUGUAUUUGCUUGAUUGUAAAGCUUCUUAGAGGAACGAUGUGUGUCUAACACAAGGAAGUUUAAGGCAACAACAGGUCUGUGAUGUCCUUAGAUGAACUAGGCUGCACGCGUGCUACACUGAUAUGUAUAACGAGUUAUUAAAAUUACGAUUCAGCUUGCUGUUUCGUAUUUUUCCUCCACUGAAAAGUGUAGGUAAUCUUUAUCAGUACAUAUCGUGAUGGGGAUAGAUUAUUGCAAUUAUUAAUCUUGAACGAGGAAUGCCUAGUAAGCAUGAUUCAUCAGAUUGUGCUGACUACGUCCCUGCCCUUUGUACACACCGCCCGUCGCUCCUACCGAUUGAAAGAUAUGAUGAAUUGUUUGGACAAGAAGAAGGGGGAUUAUAUCUCCUUUUUUCUGGAAAAACCGUAAAUCCUAUCUUUUAAAGGAAGGAGAAGUCGUAACAAGGUUUCCGUAGGUGAACCUGCGGAAGGAUCAUUA
rnacentral:rRNA from 1 species